rnacentral:rRNA from 1 species
UACGAAGGGGGGCUAGCGUUGCUCGGAAUUACUGGGCGUAAAGGGCGCGUAGGCGGAUAUUUAAGUCGGGGGGUGAAAGCCCAGGGCUCAACCCUGGAACAGCCUUCGAUACUGGAUAUCUUGAGUACGGGAGAGGUGUGUGGAACUCCGAGUGUAGAGGUGAAAUUCGUAGAUAUUCGGAAGAACACCAGUGGCGAAGGCGACACACUGGCCCGUUACUGACGCUGAGGCGCGAAAGCGUGGGGAGCAAACAGGG